rnacentral:rRNA from 1 species
AUUGAACGCUGGCGGCAUGCCUUACACAUGCAAGUCGAACGGUAACGCGGGGGCGAACCCUCGGCGACGAGUGGCGAACGGGUGAGUAAUACAUCGGAACGUACCCACGUAGUGGGGGAGUAGCUCGGCGAAAGACCGGAUUAAUACCGCAUGCGACCUAUGGGUGGAAAGCGGGGGAGUCGCAAGACCUCGCGCUAUUGGAGCGGCCGAUGUCGGAUUAGCUAGUUGGUGAGGUAAAGGCUCACCAAGGCUACGAUCCGUAGCUGGUCUGAGAGGACGACUAGCCACACUGGGACUGAGACACGGCCCAGACUCCUACGGGAGGCAGCAGUGGGGAAUUUUGGACAAUGGGCGAAAGCCUGAUCCAGCCAUGCCGCGUGUGUGAAGAAGGCCUCGGUUGUAAG